rnacentral:rRNA from 1 species
UACGUAGGGAGCAAGCGUUGUCCGGAUUUACUGGGUGUAAAGGGUGCGUAGGCGGCUUAGCAAGUCAGAAGUGAAAUCCAUGGGCUUAACCCAUGAACUGCUUUUGAAACUGCUAAGCUUGAGUGGAGUAGAGGUAGGCGGAAUGUAUGGUGUAGCGGUGAAAUGCUUAGAGAUCAUACAGAACACCGAUUGCGAAGGCAGCUUACCAAUCUAUAUCUGACGUUGAGGCACGAAAGCGUGGGGAGCAAACAGG